GCGCUCGUAGCUCAUUUGGAUAGAGCACUACCCUCCGAAGGUAGAGGUGUCAGGUUCAAAUCCUGUCGAGCGCA
rnacentral:tRNA from 1 species